rnacentral:rRNA from 1 species
GAUGAACGCUGGCGGCGUGCCUAAUACAUGCAAGUCGAGCGAACAGACGAGGAGCUUGCUCCUCUGACGUUAGCGGCGGACGGGUGAGUAACACGUGGAUAACCUACCUAUAAGACUGGGAUAACUUCGGGAAACCGGAGCUAAUACCGUGUAAUAUAUUGAACCGCAUGGUUCAAUAGUGAAAGACGGUUUUGCUGUCACUUAUAGAUGGAUCCGCGCCGCAUUAGCUAGUUGUUAAGGUAACGGCUUACCAAGGCAACGAUGCGUAGCCGACCUGAGAGGGUGAUCGGCCACACUGGAACUGAGACACGGUCCAGACUCCUACGGGAGGCAGCAGUAGGGAAUCUGACGCAAUGGGCGAAAGCCUGACGGAGCAACGCCGCGUGAGUGAUGAAGGUCUUCGGAUCGUAAAACUCUGUUAUUAGGGAAGAACAAAUGUGUAAGUAACUAUGCACGUCUUGACGGUACCUAAUCAGAAAGCCACGGCUAACUACGUG